rnacentral:misc_RNA from 1 species
GAUCCCCAAAUCCUCGCCCCCGCCGAGAGCGAGAGAUCGGAAAAAACUCUAGAGAUCGAACAAGAUGCUGAGGAUCGCUGGUCGACGGCUCACCUCCCUCUCAUGGAGGCCCUCCCCAGCAUCCUCCUUCUCGCUCCUGUCACGCGGCCCCUCCGCCGCCGCCGCCGACGAUCACAGAUCGCCGGCGUUGGAUCCCGCUCGUACUCCCUUUAUCGGCUUCAUCCGAGGGUUUGCAUCUGAAUCUCUGGUCCCGGGCCACCAGCAGGACCUGGGAUUAGCUGAGCACCUUCCCGCAACAGUGGCAGCUCUGAAGAAUCCAACCUCGAAGAUAGUCUACGAUGAACACAACCACGAACGUUAUCCUCCUGGAGACCCUAGCAAGAGAGCAUUUGCCUACUUUGUGUUGAGUGGUGGGAGAUUUGUGUAUGCUUCUCUGCUUCGACUCCUUGUCCUGAAGCUUGUUCUGAGCAUGUCUGCUAGUA